rnacentral:rRNA from 2 species
AAAUUGAAGAGUUUGAUCAUGGCUCAGAUUGAACGCUGGCGGCAGGCCUAACACAUGCAAGUCGAACGGUAACAGGAAGCAGCUUGCUGCUUCGCUGACGAGUGGCGGACGGGUGAGUAAUGUCUGGGAAACUGCCUGAUGGAGGGGGAUAACUACUGGAAACGGUAGCUAAUACCGCAUAAUGUCGCAAGACCAAAGAGGGGGACCUUCGGGCCUCUUGCCAUC